UACGAAGGGGACUAGCGUUGUUCGGAAUCACUGAGCGUAAAGCGCACGUAGGCGGAUAUGUCAGUCAGGGGUGAAAUCCCGGGGCUCAACCUCGGAACUGCCUUUGAUACAGCAUGUCUUGAGUCCGAUAGAGGUGGGUGGAAUUCCUAGUGUAGAGGUGAAAUUCGUAGAUAUUAGGAAGAACACCGGUGGCGAAGGCGGCCCACUGGAUCGGUACUGACGCUGAGGUGCGAAAGCGUGGGGAGCAAACAGG
rnacentral:rRNA from 1 species